AAAACUGGACUUUUCGACUUAUUUACUGACCCAACCUUAUUUUGGAUCUAGAUCCAUAUCAGUUUCGGAUUUUUUAUCCCCAAUUUUGAAACCUAAAAACUCUAAUUUUUUUUCUUCUCUCCACGACACUCUUUCAUCUUCUUCAUCUUCUUCAUCUUCUCUCUAUUGGAGACCGGAGACUAGAGUCGUCAAUACGACAAAGACAAAGCUUUCGAUCUCUUUUCGUCUUCUUCUUCUCUCUUCUUUCAAUUCCGUCGAUACUCUUUCGUUUUCUUCUUCUUCCCUCUCUUGUUUCUAUCGAUCCAAAGAUCCAUUCUCUUUCUUCUUCUUCGUGAGAAAUCCCGCCGUGAAUCCGAGGAAUCCGCCGUGAGAAAUCAUCUAUGUUUUCUCUUUGUACUAAUCACAAUGAUUAAUUAGAGGAGAAGGAUAUAGUUCUAGAAGGGAAAGAUUAUCUUCUCCUUGGAGCAAGAGAAGGCGAGAGAAUCGGAGCAAGAGAAGGUGAGGAAAUUGGAGCAAGAGAAGGCGAAGGAGAUGGAGCAAGAGAAGGCGAGGGAACAUGAAAAGAUUAUGAAGAAGUGUUGGUGGUUGGGUUAUUAGAUACAAUUGAGUUCGGCUUGUAUUUUGGUUUCUGAUUUUGAUGUAUAAAUCUAAACGUUUAGGUACAACUGGUACGAUCAUGUACAACUAUGUUUCUGGGUUUAUGUUUUUUUGAUUAUGUUUGAAUCAUUGAAUCUGAAUCUAACUAUGUAUGAAUCUUUUAAUCUGAAUCUUAAUAUUUUUAUGUAUGAAUCUAUGUAUUGAAUAUAA